ACUGUAGCAUAUAAGACAACAUAACUAACAGUAACUUCAAGCCUAUUUUCCAAACAAAAGUUUCCUAAAUUUAAAGUCAACAGAAAAGAGUACGACUUUAGCUCUUUCACUUUAUGUAUUGCUCAAGCAUCCAGUAGUAACCAGCACUCAAUGUCUGUAUGUAGAUUUUCAUAAAGUCAGAGUCCCAGAAACGCAGUAUCUCCUUUGCUUAUCUUUUUGACAUUGAAGGGACUACAACGUUCGUCUGCAGUAGCCAUAUGGACUGCCUCAUUCAAAUUGGUAUUUCGGUUGUUGGGAAAAUAGCUGAGUAUACGGUUGCUCCUAUUGGUCAUAAGUUGGGUUAUGUUUUUCACUAGAAACGUAAUGUAGAUAACUUGGCAACAGAAACCCAGAAUUUGAAACUUGCCAAAGAUAGGAUGCAGGAUUUGAUGGAUGUUGCUAGAAGAAGAGGCGAAGAAAUUCAUGGAGAUAUUAAAGACUGGCUAGUAAAACUAAGUGAGGUCACUGAAGAGGCUCAAAAGUUGUUAGCAGAGGAAAAGCACAACAAAAUGAAGUGUACUUUCAGAGGGCACUUUCUGAAUUUGGUGCCUCGAUACCAGCUAAGCAGGAAAGCCAAGAAGAUAGGCGGCUCUGUCGUUAAAAUCAAAGAUGCAAUCAGGUUCGAUAACAUCUCUUUCUAUCCCAAACUCCAAAGUGAUUUUAAAAAUAAAGAUUACAUAACCUUUGACACAAGAAAGGAAAUUGUAAAGGGAAUAAUGGAGGCACUGGGAUAUGGUAAUAUCAGGAUGAUUGGGGUCUAUGGCAUUGCUGGUGCCUGCAAAACCACGCUUGUUAAAGAAAUUGCUAGAGUGGCUUUAGAUCAGAAGUUAUUCAAUGAUGCAGUUUUGGUUACUGCAUCGAAAUCUCCAAAGUUUGAAAAAUUCAACAAGAAGUUGCAGACAAGCUAGGUUUAGUACUCAAUGAUAAAAGCAUACCUGGAAAAGCACUUAGGCGACGGAAUCGAUUGAGGGAUGAGAAUAAGUUGCUUAUAAUUCUAAUGAUGUUUGGAAGGAUGCAAGAUAUUGCUGACAUCUAGAUUUAAGCAAGUCUUGUAUAAUAAUAUGCGUAUUGAAAAGAAUUUUGUCAUUUUACUUCUAUCAAAAGAUGAAGCAUGGGAAUGGUUUAGCCAUAUAGUGGGUGAUUUGGUUAACAAUUCUGAUUUCCAAGGUUUGGGAACUGGGAUUGUUAAAGAAUGUGCAUGCCUACCAAUCGCCAUUGUAACAAUUGCACAUGCAUUAAAAAACAAUCACUUGCCUUUUUGGAGACAGGCCUUAAGGCAACUACAGAGGUCUAACUUAACGGAUAUCAAGGGAAUGCAUGAAAAAGUGUACUCUAGUAUCGAACUAAGUUAUAAUUCUUUACAAAAUGAAGAAGCAAAAUCAUUACUUUUGCUUUAUGGUUUACAAGAAGAAGAUGAAAACAUAGAAAUGGAGUAUUUAAUGAGAUAUGGAAUGGGUUGGGAUAUGUUUAAACAGGUCUAUACAUUGGAAGAGGCAAGUGACAAAGUUUACAGUUUGGUCGAUGAACUCAAAGAUCCUUCUUUGUUGUUGGAUGGUGACAGCUAUGGUACAGUUAAAAUGCAUGAUGUCAUUCAGGACGUUGCCAUAUCAAUUGCAAAAGGAAACUAUAUGUACAGUUUUAGAAAUGUUGUUGAGGUGGAAGAAUGCCAGAGGAGGAAAACACUUGAAGGCUCAAAGGCAAUUUCACUACCUAAUGGUUAUAUCGAUCAGUUCAUUUCCAAAAGGUUGGAAUAUAAACAGCUUGAGUUAAUCUGGAUGUGGGAAAAUAAAUCUAUCCAGAUCCCAGGUAAUGUUUUAAAAAAAAACAAGAGAGCUUAAGGUUUUUGAUUUGUUUCAUUCAUAUAACUUACAAGCAUUGCCUUCAUCUUUAUGUUUCCUGCAAAAUCUUCAUACACUGUGUUUGCGCUUAUGUAAGCUAGGAGAUAUAGCUUUAAUUGGAGAGCUUGAUAAGUUGGAAAUUCUUGACCUUUCACAGUCUGAUAUUGAGGAAAUACCAACACAAAUUGGUCAACUUACUCGUCUAUGCAUGUUAGAUUUGACUGGCUGUUGCAAUCUAAAAGUGAUUCAACCCGAUAUCAUAUCACGUUUGAUAUGUUUAGAAGAGUUGUAUGUGAAACAGAGUUUUAAAAAUUGGGAUCAGCUUGAAGUAGUCAGUGGAGAAAGAAUAAACGCCAAUCUUAUUGAACUAAAUGGUUUGGUUCGACUGACCAAUUUACAUUGGGAGAUAGUUGAUGUCAAGAUGCUGCCAAAAGACUUAUUUAGUGAGAAAUUGGAACGAUAUAAGAUUUCAAUACAGGGGGCUGCACAAUCCAGCAAUGUUGAUGAUGGAUUUAAUUCUAUCAAUUCUGAAGUCUCAGCUCCAAGACAUUUGGAAAUCAAUCUCAAUGAAAGUAGUCUAUUACAAGAGCUUGGUCUUGAAAUGUUGUUGAAAAGGUCUCAAGUCUUGUGUUUAAAUGGAUCAGAGUGUGUGAAUAAUAUUGUUUAUUACUUAGAUAAAAGGGGCUUUCCAGAACUGCAGUGUUUUCAGUUAAGAAAUAAUGUUAAAGAUUCAAUAACACAAUAGAGCAAAUUCACCUUGUAGUGCAUUUCGCAGCUUGGACUCAUUGUUCCUUGACAAUUUGAUAAAUCUGGAAAAGAUAUGUCAUGGAGAACCCACAAUAGACUCAUUUGAAAGAUUGAGGGUUAUAGAAGUAAGAAAUUGUAUGAAAUUGCAAAAUCUCUUGCCAUUCUCCAUUGCCUGACAACUUGGGGAAAUUAGUAUAAUUAAUUGUGCUCAUUGACAUUGAGAAAUGUACCAAAGAUCAAAAAAUUCUGCUCCAAAUUGAAGAAAGCUUCUACAUCAUGUGAGGGAAUUGGACCAUUAAUUGUAGAUUCUCAUGCCAUGCCUUUCUUCAGUGAGAAGAGAAUUUGGCUGAGCUCCUCGAGGAACUCUUACUUUCCCAUAUCUUAAGAGAGUUACAGCUUUGAAAUGUCCAAGUCUGAAAGCAAGCUUUCCAUCUUCCAUUGCCAAAGACCUUCUCCGACUUCAAACACUAAGUGUUAGUCAAUGUGGGAUGGAAGAAAUUGUUGCUAAGGAGGAAGAAUUGGAGAUGGUCCCUCCUAGGUUUGUAUUCCCUCUACUGGACUACAUAGAGCUCCAAAAUUUGCCCAAUCUCAUGAGUUUCUAUCCGGGACUACAUACCUCAAGUUGUCCUUUAUUAAAAUGGCUACUGGUAAAAAAUUGUAUGAAAGUGAAGGUGUUUUCUUCAGAAUUCUUUAGCCUCCAAGAAAUGCAUGGAUUGGCCCACAAUAAUAUUUCAGUUCAACUACCAUUAUUUCCUUUGGAAAACGUUGCACUACCCAGCUUGAAUAUGACAAGUCAACAUCAAUUCACAAUAGAUUUCUUUAGAAAAUUGCAACACAUAAAUGUUGAUAAUUGUAAAAAUCUAGUUAAGAUGUUUUCAUCUGAUAUGUUGAGAAGACUCCACAGUCUAACGAAGUUGGUCAUAUGUAAUUGUGGCAUGAUGGAAGAGGUACUUGAAAUCCAAAUAUCAAAUGAUCACCAAAAAACAUCAGAGAUAGCAUCCAUUCAAUUGAGGGAGUUGGAAUUAAGAAGAUUACCAAAACUGAAGCAUGUGUGGAGUAUGGAUCCGAGAGGGAGUCUUAUUUUCCAAGACCUCCAAACAGUUUAUGCUUAGAAAUGUCAGUCUCUGAAAAAUCUUUUUCCACCUUCUGUUGCCAAAAAUCUUCCCCAACUUCAAAAGCUUAUUGUAGACAAUUUUGGAGCAGAGGAAAUUGUUGCAAAGGUGGAAGCAUCGGAAACAAAAAACCAAAUUUGUGUUCCCUCAAUUAGUUGAUUUACAACUCCUAAAUCUGCCACAACUCAUGAGUUUCUACCCAGGGAUACAUGCCUUAGAGUUUCCUUUGCUUGUAAUGUUAAAGGUGUCUAAUUGUUUGAAAAUAGAGGACUUUUCUUUGAGAUUUCUAAGUUUCCAAGUAACAGAUCAGGUGAUCCAUCAUGAUAUUCCAUUCCAAGAGACUGUAUCUUUGAAGGAUAAGGUUACCAAAGAUCCAGUUGGCAAAGAAGAAUGGGCAGGUGCACUAAACAAAUUGCCCAACUUGAUCCAUUUGAGGAAGGAGAGCUCCCAGCCAUAGACAGAAUUUCAGCAUUUGAUAAUUUUAGAAGUCUUGAGAUGUGGCAGGUUAAAGAACUUGGUGCCGUCCUCGAUGUCUUUCGAAAAUUUGACAGAUCUAAGAGUGUCAAACUGUCAUGGAAUGCUAAACUUAAUAACUUCUGACAGCCAAAAGUAUGACACUAUUGAAGAGAAUGAGGAUAAGUGAAUGCAAAAGAAUGGCAGAAAUAAUUGCAGAUAGAGGAAGUGUAGGUAAAAUAAUUCUAGCUGGGUUGAAAAGUUUGGUUCUUGAUUCUUUACCAAGCCUCACAAGCUUCUAUUCGGGGAAACACAUGAUGAGAUUUCCAAAUUUGGAAUGUGUAGUCAUAAGCCGUUGCUUAGAUAUGCAAAGUUUCUCUCCUAGUAUCGUAAGCACCCCGAAGCUGCAUAGGGUAGUCUUGAACAUGGAAGAUGAAAAUUACAGUGAGACUGAUUCAAAUUCAGAAGACGAACAUGCAAGGUCAUCACGUAAUGAGAUGGAUGAUAUUAGUACAGCUAUGGCUUCUAAUACCAGAUUAGAUAUUAAUACCAUCAUAUUACACAUUUGGGAGAGCCACUUUUGUACUGCAUUACAAGAACUUUUCACAGAAAAGGAUAAUUGUACAUGAAGAGGAGUUACAAGUAGACAAGAUGAUGAUAAAAAAAUUUUCAAACGAUCGUAGAGAAAUAAAGAAGUUGAUCAUCCUGACGAGAAAAUUCUAUGCCUUUGAAGAUUAUAGGGUAAGGAUUCCUCAUGUUUCUAUUCAGGUACACUUGUUUGUCUUGGUCAUUUUCUCAAGGUUUAGAAAGGGUUCAACUUUGUUACGCCCCUUUAGGCCAACAUAUUCUCUCUGCAGUUUUUUUUUUUUUGGUCUCUGUUCAAAUCGCUAUUGCUUUUAGUCAGUAAUAUAUACAUUGAGUUUCAAGUCAUGACAAUAUGAGAGUUGUAGCUUAAAAACUCAAUUUAAUAAUUUGCAUCUUUUUUAUUGAUGGAUUAAAAUGAAUCAAUUCCUAGCAAUAAUAAUAAUAAUUAGAGUUUUUAAUGAUAGCAUACAAGGAAUUAGGCUUUUACAACAAAUUUCCAAGUCUCCCAUUAGUUUAGUAAUUAGGAGGUUAACUGUGCAUCAUAUAUAUAUAUAUGUAUAUAUUUUUGGUCAUUAAAUUGUGCGUCUUAUUUCUUUGGUUCUUACUCUUCUUCAUUUUUAGAUCUUAAUUGUUUAAUCUUACAUAGGAAUUGAGUAUAUGGACGAGAGAAAAUAAAUAAAUCUUGAAAAUUGAAAGAGUUUGAGACUAAACUUUUAACUCAUAAGAAAACCCGAACUGUUUCACGUGAAAUCAUAUAAUUGUUCAGAAUGGGCUGCACACCAAAUGUCACAAUAUAUAGCAAAAUGAAACUAGUGUAAUUUUUUUUUUUUCUCCGAAUGAUCCAAAUAUGAACAUAAAACAAGUUAGUAGAAUGUUUUCAUUUUGAAAUUUUAGACAAUUUUUUAUUUGAAAACUGUUAAUUUUUAAAAUUAUUAUUUUCAUUUAUAUUGUGAAAAAAAAAAAU